GGGGCCAUAGGUUUCACUAGUGGCUUCUCUCAAGAUAGCAUAACUAUUACGGUGGGUGAACAAAAUACUGUCGACCAAUUGAUAGAGAUUACUAGUAAGAUGCAUGUGCUUACGCUACGGAAUCACAAAAGAGGGUGGGAAUUGUUUACUGAAGGGUGAAGAGCCUACUAAACAAUUAAAUAUGUACCAAGACAUCUAUCAAAAAGAUGCCAUAUUGUUGAUAAGUACACAUCAAGCAAAUCGACUGAUGAACCUCCUUAUCCAAGCCAAACAUUUCUUCUCAAUUUUCACUUUGCAGAAGACUUAUGUUGUUCCUGCCCAGCUUUCUCCUUCUUGUCCCAUAUCGAGGGGGCCUGAGAGCAUGCAACAAAUACAAAAAUCCAUCCAGACACAUUUGGCAACUGCAACCACCCCAACCAGCUUUGGGUUAACACAUGAUCCACCUCCAGUCCGCAUCCCAUUAACUGCUACAAGAAUCUACCACGCAAAAAAGAACUGCUACACGAAUCUACAUACGCUGCCACCAUGAAGAGAAGCAAUAUUUUACACCCAUUCAUGCUUAGUUACAUACCUUAGGCAUCUAUGAGGCCAUGGAAUCAUUAGCCAAGCAAAGUAUACCCUUCUUUUAGUCAUUUACUCAAAACAUAUGUGCGAACAAUAUUAGCCCUCGAGUUCGUGCUCAUCUACCUUCUCAGAAAAAUGGUAUGUAGUAUAUAUAACAAUCUGUACAUACAAAAAUAUUACUAUUGGACUAUUUGUAACUUUAUUACAUCAACCAGGUUUAUGCAAAGAUAAUGUUGAUAAGAAACAGCCAGGAAACAAAUAUUCGGGAUGUGGCUUGAAAAAUUGGAUGUUUCUCCAUAUAUGCGCAAUCUGAAGUCAACGCCAAGAAAUUAACAUAGAGAACAAUAAAAAUAACAAAUGCAAACUAACACUUUAUCAGAAAGGAAGGAAAUGCAGAAUUGACAAGACAAACACCGCAGCCACAACAUUUUGCAAAGAUAAUUUGCUACCUACAUUUGUCAAUGACGAAAAUGAUAGAAUAGGCAUACGGCACAACUACAGUCUGACACAUAGGGGCAAAUACUAAUUAUUCUCUCUGUAGGGCAUAGGCCAACAACCAUGAACGACAAUAGAGCUGUUGUACUUCCGUGCUCGCAAUGAAAUUAUAUCAGCUAUUGGCAGCAAAGACACAGAUAAAUAGAACUGGCUGAAGUGCAUCACUUGUAACAGGAUUUAAAACAGCGACCAUCCAACUAAAUACCGAUAGUGCAGUAAAGCAGCAGCUAUGAACUGUUGGAAACACUAAUGUACAAAAUUUUGAAGCUCACCUUCUAGAUAAUACGAAUCACCUGAGGAUAUAGUUACUCAUGCAUGAGCUUUGACAUGGUCAAGCAUGUCGAGCAUACAAGUUUCCUCUAAAGGUAUUUGUCCAAUUUUGCACUUAUAUUAUCUGGAACUUUGUCUACAUGCAAGUGAUCGUGUUUGCUUGAUUCUAGCCCAUGCAAAGUUCUGUAAGCAGAUUGCCUAAGGCUCUUCAACAAUCGUUCUCCCUGUCUCCCAUCAGGUAAUUGGCCCAAGUGAUUAUAAAUUAUUAAGCUACUGAUUAGUCUAUAUCUCUAGAACAGCUAAUCAAAUAAAUAAUACUGGGGAUGACAUCAUAUCAACUAUUGCAGACCUGAAGUUGAUCCAAUAAUAAGCAAAUAACAUAUGCAGUAUUGGGGGCGAAAUCUAUGUGCGUGCACCUCCCGGCGGAUGGAAUCACAACGGCGAAGCAUGGAGGCAGAACACAGUAGCAUCGGCACGGAUGAUGCGGGGUGCUGUGCCAGUGUGAUUGCGCUACUGCUGGCGGCACGUAUCCUGGAAGCCGAGAACUGAGACGGGGCAGCUUCGUCACGGUAAUAUGAACAGUUCAGAGCUUCCAAUGCUCCUCAGAUUAAACACGAGAUAUGAACAGUUCGGAGCUUGCAAAAAGGAAAAUCAUACCAAACCAUAUAAUAUGAAGAUUGAAUGAAGGCCAAACCCAACACCAUGUAACAACUUUCAUAGAGAUGCAUCACAGGAAUUUUUUUCUUCUCUUUAUUUCAUCCCCUAAAAAAAGCAGUAUAAACAGAGUACUGAAUUUCUGAAAUGAACGACACCAGUAACUUAUUCUUCUCUCUAUCUCUUCUCCUAAAUCGAUUUAAACAAAGAAAGAAUAACUUGAUAAUAUUCAGAUAGAAACAUUCCUUUCUUAUCUAAGCCACAGACGCAUAAUGCAGAACCAAUCUGUUUUAGAAGGUGGUGAUGGAGAAAGCUCACCGGCUGAUAUCACCAAAAAGGAGGACCUCCUAUGGUGUAUGGGGCUUGCAUAUAAUAUAUCAAGAUCAAAGUCUUCUCACCAUUGCCGGCUACAUUAUGUAUCUAAGUAGCAGCUGCAACUGCAUGGCCACCAGACGCCUACCGCUGUAGCAAGCAGCACCGGUCCCUUGUCACCAUGUUUACAAGUACCUAGAAGCAGCAUACAUAUCUACAUAUCAUGAAGCGAGUACCUAGUAGCACCAGUUGUAAUCAGUAAGCAAGUAACAGCAUGAAGAAAACCAGUAGCAGCAUGAGAAAAUCGCAGCAGUGCUUUCCUCUAUGGUCUCUUUAUAUAUGCAAUAGCAGUAUAUCAGGGCAGAUCAGCAAAAUUAAUAACAUUACACUUAUCAAUCUUGAUGCACUCGUCGGCCAGGCCAGCUAGCAUCCAUCCCAGCGUUCGCGCCCUCCUCCGCGCAUAGCCAUCCCCAACGUCCAUGCCUUCUACCUGACCGUCUUGUUCCUAUGCCCCCAAGAACUUCCGCUCAGCUCAAGCUCCACUAUGAGCGUGGGGAGAGAGGAAAAGGGAGGAGAAGGGGGGCUCCUGCACGCCGCCCUAGCAUUCAGGCGCACGCACACGCACAUAUAGCACGCGUGCUAUCGAUCCAAUGGCUCCGCCUCGCCCGGGCUGGCAUGGGGAUGCAACAAAGUAGAGUAGCAGAUUAAGAAUUUGUCAGUGCUUGGAUUGGGACGGCAAGCCGGCGACCGUGGCGGCGGGGAUGGGCUCGAUCCAGCAUCUCGCGAUGGUGGGGUGGGGAAUGGGGGACGCCCGGGGUAGUGGGAGUGUUCAGACGUGGGGAGAGGAUGGUCUCUGGCGGCCAGAGAUAGGGCGGCGGCUCUAUAGAUCUGUUUCUCAAGAGAAGGAGAAACUUCUA
rnacentral:lncRNA from 1 species